rnacentral:rRNA from 1 species
UUAAAUUGAAGAGUUUGAUCAUGGCUCAGAUUGAACGCUGGCGGCAGGCCUAACACAUGCAAGUCGAACGGUAACAGAAAGCAGCUUGCUGCUUUGCUGACGAGUGGCGGACGGGGGAGUAAUGUCUGGGAAACUGCCUGAUGGAGGGGGAUAACUACUGGAAACGGUAGCUAAUACCGCAUAACGUCGCAAGACCAAAGAGGGGGACCUUCGGGCCUCUUGCCAUCGGAUGUGCCCAGAUGGGAUUAGCUAGUAGGUGGGGUAACGGCUCACCUAGGCGACGAUCCCUAGCUGGUCUGAGAGGAUGACCAGCCACACUGGAACUGAGACACGGUCCAGACUCCUACGGGAGGCAGCAGUGGGGAAUAUUGCACAAUGGGCGCAAGCCUGAUGCAGCCAUGCCGCGUGUAUGAAGAAGGCCUUCGGGUUGUAAAGUACUUUCAGCGGGGAGGAAGGGAGUAAAGUU